rnacentral:lncRNA from 1 species
CUGGAAGUGUUUAUGGAAGUGGUUCUAUGAACAUGCUGAUCGUGCUGCACUCAUGCUGACCAUGGUGUGUGCAACUAGACUGAUCCGGUUGCUUGUCUUUGGAGAUCUUCACCUGUAGGUUGCGCAUUUGUCUGCAUUUAUAUUAGCAGCUGUGUUUUUAUAAUUAGGUGCCUGGAUUUAGUUGAUAUAUGCCUACUAUAUUUAAGUACAUGGGGGAGGCGCGCAUGGUUGAUGAUUAUGUUCUGGGUUGGCCAUUGAGAGGGAGGCCGAAGCAAACUCCGUUAGGUUUCAGGUGCACGCCCUCUGUCCUUGUUUUCGUCUCUGUAGCUAAACUUGAGAAUUGUACACUUUGGUAUAUAAAGUUAGUUGCUGAGUUUACAUGCAGUUAUGAAAGGUAGAGCACAUACAUGCUUGAUUUUACUUCCUUUAAUACAGGGCAUUCUAUAAUUACUAAGAACUGAUUUGUUGAAGUGUGCCUCCCUAUUUUGUCCAGAAAACUACUUCAGGUUAGGCGGGAGAAAUAAAAAGGGUAACCAUAGAUAUAUGGUCUAGCAUCACGAGGUUCAGGUUCCUGUUGUUGAUCAACCGUUGCUUCGGUCGAGGUGGGUUAUGCUUGAUUAUGUUCUUCUUUGUAUUUUUGUUCAUGGCCUACACUGAUGUUAUCAUCUAUUCUGUUACAAAAAUUUCAAUGGCUUAGUUUCAUGUCCCAGUACCACUUGAAGUACAACUAAGUACCUUCUGACAGGACAAUAAUGUAUGUAUUUACCUAUGGUUAUUGUUUCCUAUAAGAAACAUGAUCAUCUCACCUUGGUUUCCCCUGUAUCUGACUUGGGACAGUUUUAUGUGAGAUCUGUUUUGCAUUUUCUGUGUGUGUGGAUGCUUAAGCUUAAGCUUUUGUUAUUUGGUUCAGCUAGAGAUUAAAGAAGACUGAAAUUAUGGGCUCGCAGCGACGAUUGUUGUGUCCAACCUGCACAAGAAU